GAUACCGGAUUAGAUACCCUGGUAGUCCACGCCGUAAACGAUGUCGACUUGGAGGCUGUUCCCUUGAGGAGUGGCUUCCGGAGCUAACGCGUUAAGUCGACCGCCUGGGGAGUACGGCCGCAAGGUUAAAACUCAAAUGAAUUGACGGGGGCCCGCACAAGCGGUGGAGCAUGUGGUUUAAUUCGAUGCAACGCGAAGAACCUUACCUGGCCUUGACAUCCAGAGAACUUUCCAGAGAUGGAUUGGUGCCUUCGGGAACUCUGAGACAGGUGCUGCAUGGCUGUCGUCAGCUCGUGUUGUGAAAUGUUGGGUUAAGUCCCGCAACGAGCGCAACCCUUAUCCUUUGUUGCCAGCGAUUCGGUCGGGAACUCAAAGGAGACUGCCGGUGAUAAACCGGAGGAAGGUGGGGAUGACGUCAAGUCAUCAUGGCCCUUACGGCCAGGGCUACACACGUGCUACAAUGGCGCAUACAAAGAGAAGCGACCUCGCGAGAGCAAGCGGACCUCAUAAAGUGCGUCGUAGUCCGGAUCGGAGUCUGCAACUCGACUCCGUGAAGUCGGAAUCGCUAGUAAUCGUGGAUCAGAACGCCACGGUGAAUACGUUCCCGGGCCUUGUACACACCGCCCGUCACACCAUGGGAGUGGGUUGCAAAAGAAGUAGGUAGCUUAACCUUCGGGAGGGCGCUUACCACUUUGUGAUUCAUGACUGGGGUGAAGUCGUAACAAGGUAUC
rnacentral:rRNA from 1 species